GAUGAACGCUGGCGGCGUGCCUAAUACAUGCAAGUCGAGCGAACAGACGAGGAGCUUGCUCCUCUGAUGUUAGCGGCGGACGGGUGAGUAACACGUGGAUAACCUACCUAUAAGACUGGGAUAACUUCGGGAAACCGGAGCUAAUACCGGAUAACAUGUUGAACCGCAUGGUUCAACAGUGAAAGACGGUCUUGCUGUCACUUAUAGAUGGAUCCGCGCCGCAUUAGCUAGUUGGUAAGGUAACGGCUUACCAAGGCAACGAUGCGUAGCGGACCUGAGAGGGUGAUCGGCCACACUGGAACUGAGACACGGUCCAGACUCCUACGGGAGGCAGCAGUAGGGAAUCUUCCGCAAUGGGCGAAAGCCUGACGGAGCAACGCCGCGUGAGUGAAGAAGGUCUUCGGAUCGUAAAACUCUGUUAUUAGGGAAGAACAAAUGUGUAAGUAACUAUGCACGUCUUGACGGUACCUAAUCAGAAAGCCACGGCUAACUACGUG
rnacentral:rRNA from 1 species